rnacentral:rRNA from 1 species
UACGUAGGUGGCGAGCGUUAUCCGGAAUUAUUGGGCGUAAAGAGCGCGCAGGUGGUUGAUUAAGUCUGAUGUGAAAGCCCACGGCUUGACCGUGGAGGGUCAUUGGAAACUGGUCAACUUGAGUGCAGAAGAGGGAAGUGGAAUUCCAUGUGUAGCGGUGAAAUGCGUAGAGAUAUGGAGGAACACCAGUGGCGAAGGCGGCUUCCUGGUCUGUAACUGACACUGAGGCGCGAAAGCGUGGGGAGCAAACAGGAUUAGA